AGUAGAUUGUCAAUUCAGAGGAAGCGAAACGUCACCGCAGAAUGUGCGUCGCGAAGUCCCAGUCCUCUGCCAACGUCGCAGCUACAAGCAUUAGUGCGUGUAGAACACGCAGCUAGAAGUCCCAGCUACAUUUGUAUAAGUGCGUGUAGAGCACGCAGCCAGAAGUCCCAGCUACAUUUGUAUAAGUGCGUGUAGCCAAUGAUUUUUUAGCGCUCCAAACCGGUUCUGGCUUGAUUCACACGGACACUGCAAGUAAUGUGUUGGUUGUUGGUGCUCUGACUUUCUGAAGUGCGAUGGAACGAAAAUUCGUUUUGAUGAUUUGAUUUUGUUUUCGGGGCUUGGCGUAUGAAACUGACCUACCGCAACAUGUGCAGAAUGAGGGGUGGGGAUUGGUGGCCGGACCUUUGGGGGUUGGAAAAAAUAAAUAUACCAAUAAAAGUUGUUAUUGUAUUUGAAUGCUGUAAUUGUUUUAAAUGCAGAUUUUAUACUGCUUUAUUCAAAAUUGUAUGCAU
rnacentral:lncRNA from 1 species